AUUGAACGCUGGCGGCAUGCCUUACACAUGCAAGUCGAACGGCAGCACGGGAGCAAUCCUGGUGGCGAGUGGCGAACGGGUGAGUAAAGUAUCGGAACGUGCCCAGUCGUGGGGGAUAACGUAGCGAAAGUUACGCUAAUACCGCAUACGAUCUAUGGAUGAAAGCGGGGGAUCGCAAGACCCCGCGCGAUUGGAGCGGCCGAUAUCAGAUUAGGUAGUUGGUGGGGUAAAGGCUCACCAAGCCGACGAUCGGUAGCUGGUCUGAGAGGACGACCAGCCACACUGGGACUGAGACACGGCCCAGACUCCUACGGGAGGCAGCAGUGGGGAAUUUUGGACAAUGGGCGAAAGCCUGAUCCAGCCAUGCCGCGUGCAGGAUGAAGGCCUUCGGGUUGUAAACUGCUUUUGUACGGAACGAAAAGGUUUGGCCUAAUAAGCUGAGCUCAUGACGGUACCGUAAGAAUAAGCACCGGCUAACUACGUGCCAGCAGCCGCAGUAA
rnacentral:rRNA from 1 species